ensembl:snoRNA
AUGCAUCUAUUUGACAGCCCCAGAGCAGUUACUGUCUGCUAAGGUUUCCACUACAGAUGCAAAAAAAGCGUCCCUGUGCUUUCUCUCUGACUGCUUUCUGCUUUCUGUGGCAGCCGAGAUCGAAUAGAGGAAUACAGGA